AGAGUUUGAUCAUGGCUCAGAGUGAACGCUGGCGGCGUGCUUAACACAUGCAAGUCGAACGGUAACAGAGAGAAGCUUGCUUCUCUGCUGACGAGUGGCGCACGGGUGAGUAAUAUAUAGUUAAUCUGCCUUCAAGACCGGGAUAGCCAUUGGAAACGAUGAUUAAUACUGGAUAUACCUUUUUGACAAAAGUUGAAAAGGGAAAUGUUUUUUCGCUUGAAGAUGAGACUAUAUCGCAUCAGUUAGUUGGUAGGGUAAUGGCCUACCAAGACAAUGACGCGUAGCGGGUUUGAGAGGAUGAUCCGCCACACUGGUACUGAGACACGGACCAGACUCCUACGGGAGGCAGCAGUGAGGAAUAUUGCACAAUGGGGGAAACCCUGACGCAGCAACGCCGCGUGAGUGAUGAAGGCCUUCGGGUCGUAAAGCUCUGUCAGAGGGGAAGAAGGCGGCGAGGUUAAUAGCCUUGUUUGCUUGACGGUACCCUCAAAGGAAGCACCGGCUAACUCCGUGCCAGCAGCCGCGGUAAUACGGAGGGUGCAAGCGUUACUCGGAAUCACUGGGCGUAAAGGACGCGUAGGCGGCUACGUAAGUCAGGUGCGAAAGCCCACGGCUCAACCGUGGAACUGCACUUGAAACUGUGUGGCUAGAGUCUGGGAGAGGCAGAUGGAAUUGGUGGUGUAGGGGUAAAAUCCGUAGAGAUCACCAGGAAUACCGAUGGCGAAGGCGAUCUGCUGGAACAGUACUGACGCUGAGGCGUGAAAGCGUGGGGAGCAAACAGGAUUACAUA
rnacentral:rRNA from 1 species